UCAUGAUUUACAUGUGAAAUGUCGUAAACAUGUGCAUUCCUGUGAAAAAUGCGUUUCAGUGAUAACUCGAUUAUAAUUUAGUAUUUGAGAGAGAAUGGGGGCAUGCAGGUAUGAUAAAAACACGACAGGUUAAUGCCUAACAUAUUAAAUAUGUAAGGUUCAGCACGAAUAAAAAUAAUUGCUCAGAAAGUAUUGAUGUUAAUUUAUUCCAGGCCUACAAAACGAUAGAGCACAUUCCUAUGGAAGACGUACGAG